UUGGUGUUUCAUUCAUUGUUCGUUUCAGCUACAAGCUCUGCUCUCUCCCUCUCUUAGGUCAUGAUUACCAGUUGUCUGCCGAUUCUCCUCUGUUUUAACCUGACCUUUCUGCUAUCCUGGCCGAGGUGCUCGUCUUUUAAUGUUAGCCACUCAUGCUUUGUCUAAAGCUGUCUCUCUCACCACUCUGGGCAGACGCCCGCAUAGUGCAGGCUUUCAGCCGCUGGUCCGACGCAGUGCAUCUUGCAUUCGGCUCAUUCCUCGCUUUGUCAUCUGGCUCAGUGUACUGUUUCUGUUCUGUUAACUCUGUUUCGUUCUUCUCGUUCCUCGCCCAAGAGGUAUACAGCACGCUCGUUCAGAAUCGGCGUGGCCACCACGGCCGCUAAGCGGGGUCUGUCCCCUACUGCGAUCAAGGCGCUGGGCCGUUGGUCGUCUGGCGCAUACGCUUCCUGCAUUUGCCUCACUCCUCAUCACGUCGUUGAAGCAUGCUAUAUCUGGUCUGUAACUUUAUGUUUUCUAUUCUCAUUUCUGGUGACGGUGGUAUUUUGCUGCACCGGCGGCAUUCACUCCAUCUCUUGGGGGGCUAUCGCUCCGGUCACCCGGUCAUGUCUGUAUUCUAUCCUUCUCUCAUCUAUCAGAUCGAUUUUAUAGUGGUCCGUAAGCCUGUUAUCUCUAUAUUUUGUAACAUUGAACCAGCCUAGUUGCCAUGGUUGUUUAUCUAUGAUGUCAACUAUCAUACCACAUAUUAUAGCCUACAUUCAUUCAUCCAUCCAUUCAUUUACUCAUUCAUCACCAUGUUCUACUCUCUCUCCUAGGUCACGAUUCCGGCUCUCUACCUACUGUCAUAAUCUAAGUUUUCAGCGCUCUCCUGACCAAGGUGCAUCUAUCAAUCAAAUCAUAACGCUCUGCUGUGUCUCUGCUCUCAGCGCAUCCGCGCCAUGUCUUCUCGCAUAGCCUAAGAUGGUGUCUCCUUGUAAGCGGUAGUUAAGCCGAUUUUGAAGCCACCACCACCCCUCCGUCCACCGUCACCAGAGGUUCCCGUCUGUUAGGGGGCAGGCUACGCCCGCCUCCAUCUCCGCUGGAGGAUAUGCUGUCCUAUCCCGGAGUUCAACGCGAAGACGGGAACCUUCGCCAAACUGAUUCAUGCAUUUUAUCAAGUGUUAUUGUUCGCCAAACUUUUAUGCAUUCCUGUAUCAUGUCUAAUGUUCAAUAAAUGUUAAUAACGUU